rnacentral:rRNA from 1 species
GAUGAACGCUGGCGGUAUGCUUAACACAUGCAAGUCGAACGGACUCUUCGGAGUUAGUGGCGGACGGGUGAGUAACGCGUGAGAAUCUGGCUUUGGGUUCGGGACAACCACUGGAAACGGUGGCUAAUACCGGAUGUGCCGAGAGGUAAAAGAGAAAUUGCCUGAAGAUGAGCUCGCGUCUGAUUAGCUAGUUGGUGAGGUAAAGGCUCACCAAGGCAGCGAUCAGUAGCUGGUCUGAGAGGAUGACCAGCCACACUGGGACUGAGACACGGCCCAGACUCCUACGGGAGGCAGCAGUGGGGAAUUUUCCGCAAUGGGCGAAAGACUGACGGAGCAAUACCGCGUGAGGGAAGAAGGCUCUUGGGGUGUAAAACUGUUUUCUUAGGGAAGAACAAAAUGACGGUACCUAAGGAAUCAGCAUCGGCUAACUCCGUG